UUCAGGUUCAGAAAAUACAGAAUCUGACACCCAAUAGUGGAGUUGUCUACAGUGGAAUGGGUCCUGACUUUUGAGUUUUGGUUCGGAAAAGUAGGAAGCAAGCAGAACAAUAUCAUAGACUGUAC